GAUGAACGCUGGCGGCGUGCCUAAUACAUGCAAGUCGAGCGAACAGAUGAGGAGCUUGCUCCUCUGACGUUAGCGGCGGAAGGGUGAGUAACACGUGGAUAACCUACCUAUAAGACUGGGAUAACUUCGGGAAACCGGAGCUAAUACCGGAUAAUAUAUUGAACCGCAUGGUUCAAUAGUGAAAGACGGUGUUGCUGUCACUUAUAGAUGGAUCCGCGCCGCAUUAGCUAGUUGGUAAGGUAACGGCUUACCAAGGCAACGAUGCGUAGCCGACCUGAGAGGGUGAUCGGCCACACUGGAACUGAGACACGGUCCAGACUCCUACGGGAGGCAGCAGUAGGGAAUCUUCCGCAAUGGGCGAAAGCCUGACGGAGCAACGCCGCGUGAGUGAUGAAGGUCUUCGGAUCGUAAAACUCUGUUAUUAGGGAAGAACAAAUGUGUAAGUAACUAUGCACGUCUUGACGGUACCUAAUCAGAAAGCCACGGCUAACUACGUG
rnacentral:rRNA from 1 species